ACGAGCUAAUUGACACCCUGCGCAUGCCGGGCGCCCCAUGCGCUCAGUCAAUUAGAAUAUUCCAAAAUGGCGGACUAUAUCGAGACUCCAUACCCACAGGACAGUCGGUUAGAGCGUCGUUUGGAGAGUUUUUCUGCAGUUACCAGUCAGAAGAGAUGCCGUUGACUAUGAAGAAGAAGCCGAUGAUACGACACAGAGUUUCUUCGACGGACGUUCCAAGCAAAAACGUCUGGGCGAGGUACAAGGAUGAUACAAGUCCACACAUGAGUCCGUCUACUACAGCGAGGAACAACAACGGGGUGUUGGCAGGAUGUUUGAGGGAUUUCACAUACAGAAGAGUCACGAAGGACAAGAAGUUUGCAGGAGUUCCGACCAAGGUUAUGGUUCCAAGCACCACAGCGUUAACAAUGAGAGGAGUAUUGAGUUGAACAACAACAGUGCCAUUUGUCGAUGUAACGUUGUCAUUCUGUUGAGAAUCAGGCCACAUGUCGGUACACCACACGAUGGUACUUUCUUCGUUUGACAAGGAAGCUGCUGUUGAAAACUGAUGUGGUGGCGCCCGUAAGCUUGUUGCAAGUUGCACUGAAAUAGUCGUAACGGUUGAAAAAUGACCAUGGCAAUAAUCGUUUUAUUACGUUGGUUGUCGGGGACUUAAGAAUGUCAAACAAUUACAUCCGGACUAUUAAGAUAAAUGAUAUCCGAACUAUUAAAAUAAAUGAUAGGUUCGCCUAUCUAUCUAUCAAAUACUUACUAUUUAUCUAACUCUAUAUAUCUUUCUAUCCAUCUAUCUAUUUCUUUAUAUAUUCUUUCUGACAUAUAUUCCUUCAUUCAUUACAGUCGUAUUUAUAACCAGAAAUACAGUAGCACCGCCGGUGCACCGUGACCGUUUGUUCGUACCAAAGUCAACAUCGGUCCAACAGAGCGGCAUUCAUAAAGGAAAUAAAAAGAAGUGCUCUGUCAACUCACAAUGUCUAAAAAACACCUGGCGGUUCCCAUGAACUUGAUGUAUAAUAGUUUGGUUGCCUAAGGCUAUAUUGAUAUGAUUAUAUGGAUGACAUCCGCGCAUACAUCAUUAAUUUUUCGUCCUUAAAACCGUUUUCUACCAUACUGUAAAUGAGUUCUUGGGUAAAUUGUACUUUAUUUGCCGUAAAAUUUGCAAAUAUAUGCGGUAAGUUGAAUAAGAUGGAAAACGGAUAUCACUGUCGUAGACUGCCAACGUCAAUGCUGAAGUCCAAGAAGAUACGAGCGUGCAAAUAAGAAAAGUUUGGCAAAAUAUGAAGUUGUCUUAUUCAUAAUAAUGUAAUUGGUUAGGAAGGUUGAACAAAUUACA